UUCAUGAUUACUGAUUAUAAGUGAACACACGUAUCUUCUCUCGAGGUUCUGAGUGUUGAGAGUGGUUGCUCAUUGUUUCUGUAUUCAAAUACUGAUGAAUCAACACUUCCAAAAGAUAUAUUGGGGAAGUUCCACUAUGUUCCUACAGACUGUUGGCCAAAAAAGAUUGGGGGAAAAUAGCUCUGGAGAAGGAUUGAGAUGAAAAUGGGAUUGGGAUCUCACUUCGCAAUGCAUUGAAGAAUCAUGAUAAUUUAUACAGCCUGUUCUUUCUUUAGUACCAAUGAAUAACUUGGUUACACAAUAUACUUGAAGAUUGCAUUAGGAACAAAAUGCUUAGCAGACCAAACUAAUUAGUUUUCUGGAGACAGACUACUCUUGCAUCAUUAUGUGCAACCCACAGGUAUCUCACUCGGCGAGACAUGCACACCUAUGCCACAUCUUUACAUGUUUCACAAAAACAUAAACAUGAUUGGAUGGGCGUCCUUGCCGGCGACCUCGCUAUCUCCAACCCAUCCACAGGGAGAAUACUAUGAAUGAGAAUGGACUAAGAAAUUGUGAUACACCUUCCUUUAGGUGCAUUUUCAUUCAGAUGGUGAUCCAGGUUUGUUGGAGCAGUACAUGCUAACCACCAAUUUGUUUUCUGAUCUUUUUAGUACAAGGCUUUACCAAACUAUCAAUUGAAGUGCAGGUCAACCAAGACUUCAUAUACAUAGGCUGAAAGAUGAAAACUAAAGACCAUGGAGAAGAUCACACCAUCUUUAUCCCAGGAAAAACAACUGCAUGGUCA